CUGGCGUUUGGGCAGAGGGCGGACCCCAAAUCUGAACGGGAAGACAGGAGAACUUGAGCAAAGAGCAAACAGCAACCAAUUAAACUAAAUGGCUUUGUGUAAAUGGAUCUUCAGUGCCUGACUUAGGAGCCUUCAGAGGCACACGCUGCACUUGCUCCCGGAGGGCAGUGAUGUCCACCCCUCAUCAUCUGACUCUGGAACCAUGUCUUCCUGUCGGAACGCAUCAUGCGGCACACGUUCCAGCUCUUCAUCUGAAUCCAGUAAAAGGAUGAUCUCAUCUUCCCUGUUCACGCUGGACAGAGAGUCGUGAGACUUGGCACUCGAACAGCCAGCCCUCAGAUUUCGACAGAGCCUCUGCUCCCUCCUCGCCCCGCCACAUGGACCGCAGGAGUUCCCGGAAAGUCUCCCCUCUGCUCUCACAAUCCCCUUCCUCCUGCUCCUUCCUCUGUUCGCCCCCAGAG